UAAAUCUUCCUCAUAGGUAGUUAUUCAAAUUCGCAUUUGAUAUAACAAACAUACACACGGCAACAUGCCAAAAACUUGUGCCUGCCAGAAGAACGUCCUGUCCAGUAGUAGGCGCGUGCGUUUUUUCCUCCCACUUCGUCUCUGCGUCGUCGACCGCUGUCAAUCAACGCCGGGGAAUGCGGCGGAAGUGCGCAACACAAACACAUGUCCCAUGACUGCGCGUCGUAGGUGGUGGAGGAGGGGUUUGCGCUGGGUCUUUUCUGAACGUGAGCGGUUUUCCUAACAGUGUGACUGCAAUCACCGGCUGAUUCACUCCUAAGCUCCCCAUCUCAACCACCAUGAAGAUCUGGACGUCGGAACACAUUUUCAACCAUCCCUGGGAGACAGUCACUAAGGCUGCCAUGCAGAAGUACCCCAAUCCCAUGAACCCCAGUGUGUUUGGGGUGGAUGUGUUGGACCGUAGUGUGGACACACGGGGACGCCUGCACAGCAACAGACUGCUGAGCGCUGAGUGGGGUCUGCCCUCCAUCGUCAAGUCGAUCAUUGGCAGAACACAGACGUGCACCUACAUCCAGGAACAUUCUGUAGUGGAUCCCGUUGAAAAGACAUUCGAGCUUCAAUCUUCAAAUGUGAAGAAGACUGAUUCGGAGGUCCUUGGCUGGCGUGGUUACACGUGGUCUGCAGUUGUGAGGCCAGUUGGACGUACUGCCAAAUUCUCUAAAACAAGAUCACAUUCACUAACAUGGUAUCAGUGGAUGAGAAGCUUACAUACAGACCACAUCCUGAUGACGCAGAGAAGACGAUAUUGACUCAAGAAGCUCUCAUCUCAGUCAAAGGGGUUAGUCUGAGUAGCUACCUGGAGGGAGUUAUGGCUAGCACCAUGUCUGCAAACGCAGGCAAGGGUCGUGAGGCGAUGGAGUGGGUGAUCAGGAAGCUAAAUGCAGAGAUCGAAGAGCUGGCAGCCGCCGCUCGCAGCACCAUAAGGACUCCCAUGGCUGCUGCUAUGACUUCAGAGAAAUAAUACCUCUAUGUUCCCAGCUUCCAGCCUGGGGACAUUGUUCUUCUCCUGUGUCAGAACAGACUCCACCUCCCUUUAUACUGCUCUGAUUCUCAUCAACUGGUCUGAAGUCUAAGCCAGCCAGGAAUCAGAUCUCCAAGUUUGAUUACAAUUCAAGUACUGUAUUUAUGAUUAAUAUAUUGUUAUUAUUUAAGUACUAACUGAAAUGAAGGGAACAACGGUAAUUCCAAUAUAUAUUUUUGAACAUUUUAUAGGAGAGGACCAUCUCAAAUGCCGUGUCUGUUGGAGUAGAAUCUAAAUAUGCUCAGUGCCCAAGUUUGAGACUAGAGCAGGUCAUGUUAUCAGCAUGCACUAGUACUAAGUAAUAACCUCGGGGACAGUGUCAAAUAUAGAGGACGGUUCAGUGAGUAACAACUUGGUUCUGCACUGAUCUUGUUGGACAGUGCUAGCCUGGUGCCAGAGUUGGCAAGAGAGCACAAACAGGUCUGGGACCAGGCUAAGACCAUAUCAGAGGUUAUUGAAUAAAUCCUGGGGAUACAAUCACCUGUCCCUUUAACAGACAGAACAAGAACCGUUUCAACAUGCUGCAUUUGAUACCGUUUUCCCUGCGGAAAGCUGCACCUACAUUAAGAAUGGUAUGGCGUGGUUGGGUUUUUUUAAUACUUGACAGUGACAUAUAUUUAUUGAGUGAAAUCACUGACAAGGGGGGAAUCAAAUGUGAAUUUGGGAAGAAUUAACAGAUAAGAAACGUAUGGUUGAGUCCUCACUAAAUAUUACUAAUGGUUAUUCUUCGGUGCCUCAGAAGUCUGACCCUCUGCCAGCACAAAAUGUCUGUGUUCUCGGAGUGUUCUGACCCCAACAAUGAAUGCAUUUAACGCACAUACUGUACAGAAGAGAGGGCUCGUGCUCCGGGCCCUCCAGUAAUGUUCUGCAUUCUCUCCCAAGAGUCAAACUAAGUAUUUUAAAUAAUAUAAAAGAACUGUUUUGGUUAAAUGUUCUGUACUGCUGUAGUCUCCAGUAUGUUAUGGAAAUGUCUGCUAUGUUUGACGUAUGGAGAGAACAUAUUAUUUAUUUUAUUUAUAUAGAGUGAUGAAUGUGUUUUUAAUUUGGUUGUAAACAAUGGUAUUUGUUGUCAGUGGUACUUACUGCCUGGGAUGUCCAGUAUAUAUUCUAGAUCGUAACGCUGAGGAGAUCAAAUGCCUCUGCUACCAACUGUCUAAGGGCCGGUUUCCCAUACGCAGAUCAAGCUUAGCACUGGACUAUUUAUGUUUUUUUUUCUUCAAAUCCAGGACUAGGUGUAAUCUGUGCAAACCGGACCUGAAUGUCAUGGGUCUAUGGUGAAAACUUGUGUUGUCAAGGAAAGAUGCUACAGUCAGUACGUGUGAUGUAUGCAUUCCAAAAACCAGGCCAGUUUGCAUUCUCAAUACAAAUGUGUUAUGUUGCCAGUCAGUUCUAAUAUGCUUUAAAGUGGUAAUGUAAGAUAUUCUAGGUUUGUUAUUUGUCAGUGAAUGUUCUGUUCUGACAUGACCUGAUGUUAGAACAAAGGGACAUGUUGAUCGUUCUGACGUGACCUGAUAUUAGAACAGAGACAUUGUUGAUCGUUCUGACGUGACCUGAUAUUAGAACAGAGACAUUGUUGAUCGUUCUGACGUGACCUGAUGUUAGAACAGAGACAUUGUUGAUCGUUCUGACGUGACCUGAUAUUAGAACAGAGACAUUGUUGAUCGUUCUGACGUGACCUGAUAUUAGAACAGAGACAUUGUUGAUCGUUCUGACGUGACCUGAUGUUAGAACAGAGACAUUGUUGAUCGUUCUGACGUGACCUGAUAUUAGAACAGAGACAUUGUUGAUCGUUCUGACGUGACCUGAUGUUAGAACAAAGGGACAUGUUGAUCGUUCUGACGUGACCUGAUGUUAGAACAGAGACAUUGUUGAUCGUUCUGACGUGACCUGAUAUUAGAACAGAGACAUUGUUGAUCGUUCUGACGUGACCUGAUGUUAGAACAAAGGGACAUGUUGAUCGUUCUGACGUGACCUGAUAUUAGAACAGAGACAUGUUGAUCGUUCUGACGUGACCUGAUGUUAGAACAGAGACAUGUUGAUCGUUCUGACGUGACCUGAUGUUAGAACAGAGACAUGUUGAUCGUUCUGACGUGACCUGAUAUUAGAACAGAGACAUGUUGAUCGUUCUGACGUGACCUGAUAUUAGAACAGAGACAUUGUUGAUCGUUCUGACGUGACCUGAUGUUAGAACAGAGACAUUGUUGAUCGUUCUGACAUGACCUGAUGUUAGAACAGAGACAUUGUUGAUCGUUCUGACGUGACCUGAUGUUAGAACAAAGGGACAUGUUGAUCGUUCUGACGUGACCUGAUAUUAGAACAGAGACAUUGUUGAUCGUUCUGACGUGACCUGAUGUUAGAACAGAGACAUUGUUGAUCGUUCUGACGUGACCUGAUGUUAGAACAGAGACAUUGUUGAUCGUUCUGACGUGACCUGAUAUUAGAACAGAGACAUGUUGAUCGUUCUGACGUGACCUGAUAUUAGAACAGAGACAUUGUUGAUCGUUCUGACGUGACCUGAUGUUAGAACAGAGACAUUGUUGAUCGUUCUGACGUGACCUGAUGUUAGAACAAAGGGACAUGUUGAUCGUUCUGACGUGACCUGAUGUUAGAACAGAGACAUUGUUGAUCGUUCUGACGUGACCUGAUGUUAGAACAGAGACAUUGUUGAUCGUUCUGACGUGACCUGAUGUUAGAACAGAGACAUUGUUGAUCGUUCUGACGUGACCUGAUGUUAGAACAGAGACAUUGUUGAUCGUUCUGACGUGACCUGAUGUUAGAACAGAGACAUUGUUGAUCGUUCUGACGUGACCUGAUAUUAGAACAGAGACAUGUUGAUCGUUCUAACGUGACCUGAUGUUAGAACAAAGGGACAUGUUGAUCGUUCUAACCUUCAGACAUAUGUGUAAGGAGUAAUUUGUGGGUGUUUUUUUAUUAUUUUAAACCCAUAUUUAGAAUAAAAUAACUUAACUCUACACCUGCACAACAAUACAACUUAGUUGGUGCUGAAAUCAUAAUGGAUUAAAAUGCUUCUGUAAACUCAAGUUCCAAACGGUCAAACAGAAAUGAAGACCAGCUAUGUUGGUUUACAUGAAAAAAAAUAAAGUCCUCUGAAAUAUG